rnacentral:rRNA from 1 species
UACGUAGGGUGCAAGCGUUGUCCGGAAUUAUUGGGCGUAAAGAGCUUGUAGGCGGUUUGUCGCGUCUGCUGUGAAAUUUCGGGGCUCAACCCCGAACUUGCAGUGGGUACGGGCAGACUAGAGUGUGGUAGGGGAGACUGGAAUUCCUGGUGUAGCGGUGAAAUGCGCAGAUAUCAGGAGGAACACCGAUGGCGAAGGCAGGUCGCUGGGCCACUACUGACGCUGAGAAGCGAAAGCAUGGGGAGCGAACAGG